rnacentral:rRNA from 1 species
GAUGAACGCUGGCGGCGUGCCUAAUACAUGCCAGUCGAGCGAACGGACGAGAAGCUUGCUUCUCUGAUGUUAGCGGCGGACGGGUGAGUAACACGUGGAUAACCUACCUAUAAGACUGGGAUAACUUCGGGAAACCGGAGCUAAUACCGGAUAAUAUUUUGAACCGCAUGGUUCAAAAGUGAAAGACGGUCUUGCUGUCACUUAUAGAUGGAUCCGCGCUGCAUUAGCUAGUUGGUAAGGUAACGGCUUACCAAGGCAACGAUGCAUAGCCGACCUGAGAGGGGGGUCGGCCACACGGGAGCGGAGACACGGUCCAGACGCCUACGGGAGGGACCAGUAGGGAAUCUUCCGCAAUGGGCGAAAGCCUGACGGAGCAAGGCGGCGUGAGUGAUGAAGGUCUUCGGAUCGUAAAACUCUGUUAUGGGGGAAGAACAUAUGUGUAAGGAACUGUGCACAUCUUGACGGUACCUAAUAAGAAAGCCACGGCUAACUACGUG